rnacentral:rRNA from 1 species
GGCCGCCAUGGCCCGCGGGAUUCCCAUACAAUCUUGCUAGCGCAUGCCCUUAAGAUAAAAGCUCCGGCGGUGUAAAAUGAGCGUGCGUCCUAUUAGCUAGUUGGAGAGGUAAUGGCUCACCAAGGCUACGAUGGGUAGGGGUUCUUAGUGGAAGGUCCCCCACACUGGCACUGAGAUACGGGCCAGACUCCUACGGGAGGCAGCAGUAGGGAAUAUUGGUCAAUGGGCGCAAGCCUGAACCAGCCAUGCCGAGUGCAGGAUGAAGGCUCUCUGAGUUGUAAACUGCUUUUGUACAGGAGCAAAAAAGCCCCUGCGGGGGCUCUUGAGAGUACUGUAAGAAUAAGCACCGGCUAAUUCCGUGCCAGCAGCCGCGGUAAUACGGAAGGUGCAAGCGUUAUCCGGUUUUAUUGGGUUUAAAGGGUGCGUAGGCGGCUUAUUAAGUCAGUUGUGAAAUCCUAGUGCUUAACGCUAGAACUGCGAUUGAUACUAUUAGGCUUGAGUUAAGAAGAGGUAGGCAGAAUUUAUGGUGUAGUAGUGAAAUGCUUAGAUAUCAUAAGGAAUACCAAUAGCGUAGGCAGCUUACUGGUCUUUAACUGACGCUGAGGCACGAAAGCGUGGGGAGCAAACAGGAUUAGAUACCCUGGUAGUCCACGCCGUAAACGAUGAUCACUCGAUAUACAUGAAACCUCGUGUGUGUCUAAGCGAAAGCGUUAAGUGAUCCACCUGGGGAGUAUACUCGCAAGGGUGAAACUCAAAGGAAUUGACGGGGGUCCGCACAAGGGGUGGAGUAUGUGGUUUAAUUCGAUAAUACGCGAGAAACAGGACCUGGGCUAGAAUGUAUUUGACAAAUCCCGCGGCCAGGCGGCCGGA